rnacentral:rRNA from 1 species
UACAGAGGUGCCAAGCGUUAGGCGGAAUCUGACUGGGCUUGAAAGCGCGUGUCAGGUGGGUCGUUAAGGUGUCCGACGUGGAAAUCCCACGGCCUCAACCGUGGAACUCGCCGGGCAUGACUGGCGAUCGUUGAGGCAUUCAGGGGCUAGCGGAACAAAUGGUGGAGCGGUGAAAUGCGUAGAUAUCAGUUGGAACGCCAUGGUGAAACGCUCGCUGGGAAUGAUCUGACACUGAGACGCGAAAGCCAGGGAGGCGAACGGG